UGCAGUCAUUACUUAAGCAGCAGAAUGGAAACAACUGGUGACAGACAACAGUCAUUUCCUGACCAGGUUCUGGCUCUCUGUUGCCCUCCUCUUGUCAUGCUCUGCUGGAGCAAGGAUGUGGGAGCAGUGACAACAGUGAUGGCCUCUUCAAGUUAAUUGCAGCUGCUGCUGAACAGGGUAAGGAUUGAAGAGUUCAGGAAGCACACUGAGUUUCCACUCAGAACAGUUUUUUUAAACACAGUUUGGGAAUAUUCUGUAAAACAGAGAAGCAAAUAGAAGCUGAAAAUCUCAUUAAGUUUGAAAGAUGGAAAUGGAAACUGUCUGCUAACUCCUGAAUUGUUGUAUGGCCAGGAUUUCUUCCUGCAAACUGGUAUGGAUGUUUCUAAGAGAUUGGAUGAGCAGCUCCUGCUCCAUGACUUUUUGAACAGAACAGUAUUUCAUAUCCAGAAGCCACUGGUCAUAAAAGGUGUUGAAUCCAUCAUAAGCUUGCAGGAUUUUGGAAAAUCAUGUCACAGCUGAGUUUCUUGCCAUUUCCUCAGAUCAAUUCCGCAAGUACUAGGUCUGUAAAAGUAAUUUUUAAAAAAUGCCUAAAGCUAAAAUACAACUAAUAUAUACACAGUUCAGUGAUCUUUGGUUAAUGAGAGAAGAAGAUUUAGUUUGGUGAUUGUUUCUGAAUAUUGUGUACUGAGGUGUCAGCUCAAGCUAUUUUUGAUCUACAGAGAGUCAUUGAAAGAUUGUUGACCUAUGUACACAUGAAAACCCUGUUCAAUAGUCAGAUAUAUGACUGACUCAGAGGUCCUCCUGAUUAAAUAACAAAUGAACUAAAAAACCCUCAAUAUCAACAACAGAAACUUUUAAACACCUAUUCUCCUUCCCCUGUAGGCGACAGUCAUUUAAACAGGAACUUGACUACCAGCCUUAUUACUUGAAUCUCUCUACACUCUUCUCCUUACCGUAGUUGACAACUUCAUCUCCUUGUUAUUUUCAGAUCCUUACUUUCUGCUUUCUAUUCUACAUUCAGCCUGUGAUUAGAAACAUGUUUAACCCUCCAUUUUCAAUUAUAUUGAUGUAUGCCAAUGAUUCAAAUAGCCAUAUUGCAAUUACUCUGUGUGGGCAGAAUUUCCCUUCAUGGCUUCAAUUAAAUCUUAUGCUAUAGAGCUGAACAAGGAAAUUUCUUCUUUUCAGUGUAUGUAGGGGACAGCUACAGAUAACAGUGACUUAUGCAUAUUAUUCUCUGGAGGCUAUAUGUAUAUAAGAUUCAGG
rnacentral:lncRNA from 1 species